rnacentral:rRNA from 1 species
UACGAAGGUCCCAAGCGUUAUCCGGAUUUAUUGGGUUUAAAGGGUGCGUAGGCGGGUUAUUAAGUCAGUGGAGAAAGCCUUCAGCUCAACUGAAGAAUUGCCAUUGAUACUGAUGAUCUUGAGUAUGAUUGAGGUGGGCGGAAUGUGUCAUGUAGCGGUGAAAUGCUUAGAUAUGACACAGAACACCGAUUGCGAAGGCAGCUCACUAAGUCAUAACUGACGCUGAUGCACGAAAGCGUGGGGAGCAAACAGG